AACGGGCGCUAAUACCGCAUACGUCCUGAGGGAGAAAGUGGGGGAUCUUCGGACCUCACGCUAUCAGAUGAGCCUAGGUCGGAUUAGCUAGUUGGUGGGGUAAAGGCCUACCAAGGCGACGAUCCGUAACUGGUCUGAGAGGAUGAUCAGUCACACUGGAACUGAGACACGGUCCAGACUCCUACGGGAGGCAGCAGUGGGGAAUAUUGGACAAUGGGCGAAAGCCUGAUCCAGCCAUGCCGCGUGUGUGAAGAAGGUCUUCGGAUUGUAAAGCACUUUAAGUUGGGAGGAAGGGCAGUAAGUUAAUACCUUGCUGUUUUGACGUUACCAACAGAAUAAGCACCGGCUAACUUCGUGCCAGCAGCCGCGGUAAUACGAAGGGUGCAAGCGUUAAUCGGAAUUACUGGGCGUAAAGCGCGCGUAGGUGGUUCAGCAAGUUGGAUGUGAAAUCCCCGGGCUCAACCUGGGAACUGCAUCCAAAACUACUGAGCUAGAGUACGGUAGAGGGUGGUGGAAUUUCCUGUGUAGCGGUGAAAUGCGUAGAUAUAGGAAGGA
rnacentral:rRNA from 1 species